rnacentral:rRNA from 1 species
AGAGUUUGAUCCUGGCUCAGGAUGAACGCUAGCUACAGGCUUAACACAUGCAAGUCGAGGGGCAUCAGGAAGAAAGCUUGCUUUCUUUGCUGGCGACCGGCGCACGGGUGAGUAACACGUAUCCAACCUGCCCUUUACUCGGGGAUAGCCUUUCGAAAGAAAGAUUAAUACCCGAUAGCAUAAUGAUUCCGCAUGGUUUCAUUAUUAAAGGAUUCCGGUAAAGGAUGGGGAUGCGUUCCAUUAGGUUGUUGGUGAGGUAACGGCUCACCAAGCCUUCGAUGGAUAGGGGUUCUGAGAGGAAGGUCCCCCACAUUGGAACUGAGACACGGUCCAAACUCCUACGGGAGGCAGCAGUGAGGAAUAUUGGUCAAUGGGCGCUAGCCUGAACCAGCCAAGUAGCGUGAAGGAUGAAGGCUCUAUGGGUCGUAAACUUCUUUUAUAUAAGAAUAAAGUGCAGUAUGUAUACUGUUUUGUAUGUAUUAUAUGAAUAAGGAUCGGCUAACUCCGUGCCAGCAGCCGCGGUAAUACGGAGGAUCCGAGCGUUAUCCGGAUUUAUUGGGUUUAAAGGGAGCGUAGGUGGACUGGUAAGUCAGUUGUGAAAGUUUGCGGCUCAACCGUAAAAUUGCAGUUGAUACUGUCAGUCUUGAGUACAGUAGAGGUGGGCGGAAUUCGUGGUGUAGCGGUGAAAUGCUUAGAUAUCACGAAGAACUCCGAUUGCGAAGGCAGCUCACUGGACUGCAACUGACACUGAUGCUCGAAAGUGUGGGUAUCAAACAGGAUUAGAUACCCUGGUAGUCCACACAGUAAACGAUGAAUACUCGCUGUUUGCGAUAUACAGUAAGCGGCCAAGCGAAAGCAUUAAGUAUUCCACCUGGGGAGUACGCCGGCAACGGUGAAACUCAAAGGAAUUGACGGGGGCCCGCACAAGCGGAGGAACAUGUGGUUUAAUUCGAUGAUACGCGAGGAACCUUACCCGGGCUUAAAUUGCAGUGGAAUGAUGUGGAAACAUGUCAGUGAGCAAUCACCGCUGUGAAGGUGCUGCAUGGUUGUCGUCAGCUCGUGCCGUGAGGUGUCGGCUUAAGUGCCAUAACGAGCGCAACCCUUAUCUUCAGUUACUAACAGGUUAUGCUGAGGACUCUGGAGAGACUGCCGUCGUAAGAUGUGAGGAAGGUGGGGAUGACGUCAAAUCAGCACGGCCCUUACGUCCGGGGCUACACACGUGUUACAAUGGGGGGUACAGAAGGCAGCUAGCGGGUGACCGUAUGCUAAUCCCAAAAUCCUCUCUCAGUUCGGAUCGAAGUCUGCAACCCGACUUCGUGAAGCUGGAUUCGCUAGUAAUCGCGCAUCAGCCACGGCGCGGUGAAUACGUUCCCGGGCCUUGUACACACCGCCCGUCAAGCCAUGGGAGCCGGGGGUACCUGAAGUACGUAACCGCAAGGAUCGUCCUAGGGUAAAACUGGUGACUGGGGCUAAGUCGUAACAAGGUAGCCGUACCGGAAGGUGCGGCUGGAACACCU